rnacentral:rRNA from 1 species
CCUACGGGAGGCAGCAGUGGGGAAUUUUGGACAAUGGGCGAAAGCCUGAUCCAGCAAUGCCGCGUGAGUGAAGAAGGCCUUCGGGUUGUAAAGCUCUUUUGUCAGGGAAGAAACGGUGGGAGCUAAUAUCUCUUGCUAAUGACGGUACCUGAAGAAUAAGCACCGGCUAACUACGUGCCAGCAGCCGCGGUAAUACGUAGGGUGCAAGCGUUAAUCGGAAUUACUGGGCGUAAAGCGUGCGCAGGCGGUUUUGUAAGUCUGAUGUGAAAUCCCCGGGCUCAACCUGGGAAUUGCAUUGGAGACUGCAAGGCUAGAAUCUGGCAGAGGGGGGUAGAAUUCCACGUGUAGCAGUGAAAUGCGUAGAUAUGUGGAGGAACACCGAUGGCGAAGGCAGCCCCCUGGGUCAAGAUUGACGCUCAUGCACGAAAGCGUGGGGAGCAAACAGGAUUAGAUACCCUGGUAGUCCACGCCCUAAACGAUGUCUACUAGUUGUCGGGUCUUAAUUGACUUGGUAACGCAGCUAACGCGUGAAGUAGACCGCCUGGGGAGUACGGUCGCAAGAUUAAAACGUCAAAGGAUUAGAGGCGAGAGAGAGCGACGACGACGACGAGGAGGAGG